UACGAAGGUGGCAAGCGUUGUUCGGAUUUACUGGGCGUAAAGGGAGCGUAGGUGGUUAGGUAAGCCCUCCGGGAAAUCUUCAGGCUUAACCUGAAAAGGUCGGGGGGGACUGCCUAGCUAGAGGGCGGGAGAGGAGCGCGGAAUUCCCGGUGUAGCGGUGAAAUGCAUAGAGAUCGGGAGGAAGGCCGGUGGCGAAGGCGGCGCUCUGGAACGUUUCUGACACUGAGGCUCGAAAGCGUGGGGAGCAAACAGG
rnacentral:rRNA from 1 species